rnacentral:misc_RNA from 1 species
UCUCCGUUGGUGAACCAGCGGAGGGAUCAGUACUGGAAUCGCAAGAUCCCACAACCCUGUGAACCUACCGAAACGUUGCCUCGGCGGGUCCCCGGCCUCUGCGCCGGGCGCUGCGCCCGCCGGCGGCCCCCUACUCUGUCUCUGCAGCGUGGCAGCGCAGAGUCCCAGAAAACAAGACAAGACUUUCAACAACGGAUCUCUUGGCUCUA